rnacentral:rRNA from 1 species
AGCUCCAAUAGCGUACGUUAAAGUUGCUGCAGUUAAAAAGCUCGUAGUUGAACGUUCGGGUUCCGCGGGACGGGGCCGCCCCGCGAGGGACGGCGCCGCCCCGGGGCUCGUGAUAUCUUAUCUCGCCGCCCGUCGCGAGGCGGACGGAGGGAUGGAUGAGGUUACCUGGAAAAAAUCGGGGCGAUCUAGGCGGGCGAACCUCGCCAACGAACGAUCGGACAUGGGAUAACGGAAGAGGGCGUCGGCUCGACUUCGUCGGUUCCUCGGGGCCGAGGCACGUACGGUGAAUAGGGACGGUCGGGGCCGCCCGUACCGGGUCGUGAGAGGUGAAAUUCUAGGAUCGACCCGAGACGAACUGCCGCGAAAGCAUUCGGCAAGGACGCUUUCAUUAAUCAAGAACGAAAGUCGGGGGAUCGAAGACGAUCAGAUACCGUCGUAGUCCCGACCGUAAACGAUGCCGACCGAGGGCCCGGAGGAGUUACGUACGACCCUCCGGGCCCUCCGCGAGAAAUCAGGAGUAUUCGGGUUCCGGGGGGAGUAUGGUCGCAAGGCCG